UUGUGGAGGAGGACGCCGAAGGUGGGGCUAAUGACUGGGGUGAAGUCGUAACAAGGUAGCCGUACCGGAAGGUGCGGCUGGAUCACCUCCUAACAGGGAGACAACAAAAUGUUUAAUAUUAUUAUUUUGUCACCUUAGGUCGAUCGGUAUCUCACGUUUUUAAUUUAUUAAGAAUUUCAUUUCCUAAGUUUUUCUAGGUCACACCCAUUAUUUUUCCUGGGCCAUUAGCUCAGGUGGUUAGAGCGCACCCCUGAUAAGGGUAAGGUCCCUGGUUCAAGUCCAGGAUGGCCCAUAUCUCUAUGUUGGGGGUAUAGCUCAGUUGGUAGAGCGCCUGCUUUGCAAGCAGGAUGUCAGCGGUUCGAGUCCGCUUACCUCCACUGAUCACCACCUCUUCCAUAAUCGGUAGAAAGGAAAUUUUUUGAGUUGUGAUCAAAUUCUGAAAGAAUCUAGCUUCCUAAUGAAAUCAUUAAGAUGCUGGACUCAUUGAAUUAAUUUCAUUGUUUUCAGAGAACCUUGACAACUGCAUAGAUUAUUUUUAAAGACAAUAAGCAUCUUUAAUGAUGCAGAUUUAUUAUUUGUGCAAAUGCAUUAAUAACAAUUCUAUUAAGCUGAUGCUUCAAUAUUUGAAGUUAUUGGUCAAGCUACAA
rnacentral:misc_RNA from 1 species